rnacentral:tRNA from 1 species
AUUUAAGUAGCUUAUAAAGAGCAUAGUAUUGAAGAUGCUAGGGAAAGUUUUUAUUCUUAAAUA